rnacentral:lncRNA from 1 species
AGCGAUUCCAUAGUCUCAAUGGUAUAUCUGGUCCUUAGACUUGAGACAUCAAGGAUGUCCUGCAUGAGUGCUCCACUCUUUGAUACCAUACUUAUAGGUUUAGAUAUCAAGAUCUAGUAUAGUUGGUCAUCGGGAGUAGUAGUCAACCUUACGAGGGUCAUUGAGUGUCGAUAGAGGAUCAUCCACUCUCAGUAUCAUGAGAGGAAUGUCCAAUGUGUUUUUGCUCAAAAAAAUCCCUAGCCAAG